UUUUAAGGAGGCCAUUUAGGCGUUCUUCAUUCUACUAGACGUCGAACGCCGAGAAUAACAGUGCCCGAAUUCUCGAUGUUCAGUCAUGCUAACGCUAAUUAGAAGACGCCUGAAUAGGGGAAGCCAGUUGAACAAGAAACGAUAAUUUCGCGAGCUCCACUUGCAGCUCGAAAACGAUCGAUGCCUCGGCACUGUCGUCGACGAAGACCCGACUUGAAAUCACUCGAAAAAUCUGCCGAUGAAGUUGAAUCUGCUGAGCACGAGUCAUUCUGUCCAACUGAAGUGCCGUAUAUUCAUAUAAUAUAUGCGACCUUUUUCGCUUCUUCAACGAGUUUCUCGUUGCUCCGAACAGCGGAAUAUCUCGGUAAAGCCGAAUAUCUUUUUCCGCAUUCUUCUAUCCAUCGCAAACGAUAUGUUUCUCGCGCGUUCAAGCCGAGGAAAUUGAAGCGCCGCGAUAAAACAUCACCGCGUUCAUUCGUUCAGCCGUGGCGUUUAUCGGGCACGAAAAAGCGCGCCGCUUCGGCUCUCCGUGCGUUGUCGGCCGAUAUCGGCCACACAAGUUGGAUCGAUAAGAAGGCUGGUUGUGCCACCUCCACUCCCGGCGCUACGCUCGGCGGCAUCGUCGACGUCGGCUUUCACCCUCUCGCGCUCGUUUCUUCCCGGCGAACAGGCGGCGGUUCAAUGAGGGUGGAGACUGCGCCGUGUUCGGCCGCGUUCUCGCUGUUCUUACAGACGCACGCAGCGCGUAAUAAUCACACGCGGGCGGUCUAUCGGCACCGGACCGACGUUUAGAAUGGGUGAGUUUUGUUCAUGUCGAGGAGGAAGUGCACGGAAACGGUGGUCGAGCGACGAGUCGCGCUGAUAUAGAUGCGCAAUUUUCCUCGCGAGCGACGGACGAUUCGAGAUUCGAGAGGUUGCGAGAGCAGUUCUCAGACUGGGACGGGUGUUUUCAAUCGCCGGGAUCGGUCAACAAUGCCGUCAAGUUCCCGGUCGUCUGUGAAAGAGUAGCGCGAGAAUAUACGUCAUCGGCGCUAUGUCCACGAGGUCGAAGGAGAAGGUCGUGGCGGCCUUCCGCAAGCUCUUCCGCUCUUCCGACAAGAUCACGGAGCAGGAUGGAGCCAGCGGUUCGACCGGCUCGCCGUCGAGGAGGCUUCUGAGUCGUCACCAUCGCCCGGAUGCCGUUACCCCGGCGGCCAGCUCGAUGCCGGAAAAUUCGGGUACCAGCCGCGCCGAUCAUGGCAACUGCUUUUUUAAGUCGAAGAAGUCAUCCGGCACUUCCGGACAGACCAUGAGUAUGGCCGAGAAGGGUUUGCGUCGGCUGAUGAAGGAGCUCAGCGAGAUCCAAAGGAUGCAGCAUCACCGCGACUCUACCUUCACCGCGGAGCUGGUGAACGACAACCUGUUCGAAUGGCAUGUGCGACUGCACAAGAUCGAUCCGGAGAGCGAGCUGGCGGCCGACAUGCGUGAGCUCGAGAUACCCCACAUACUGCUGCACGUCAUCUUCCCCGAGAACUUCCCGUUCGCGCCGCCCUUCAUGAGAGUGAUCUCGCCGAGGAUCGAGAAGGGCUUCGUGAUGGAGGGCGGCGCUAUCUGCAUGGAGCUCUUGACGCCAAGGGGAUGGGCCAGCGCGUACACCGUCGAAGCGGUCAUCACGCAGUUUGCAGCGAGCAUUGUGAAGGGACGGGUGAGCAGCAUCUUCAAGUCUGAAAGCGGGCGAGUGGCGAGGAAACCGAAGCCAAACAAAGAAUUCACUCAGCGAUCAGCCGAGGAGUCAUUCAAGAGCUUGGUGAAAACGCACGAGAAAUAUGGCUGGGUGACCCCACCGCUCGCCGAAGGCUGAUCGCAGUGUCUCAUUGUCGACAGCUAGAAGAGACUCGCGUCUCUCGCUCGAGGAACUGCGCAUCGGCCGAAGUGAUCCUUUCCCUCGAUUCUAACGGCGGCAGCGGCAACGGCAACACAGACGUAAGAAGUAUGUGUAAGUAGAAGUGCAGUCAAGAGCUCCAGAUUUCAACAUCGCACGGACGUGCGUAUUUUUUUUUUUCGUCAUUUUCGCACAUUUUUCAACACCUUUUAUAAUAAAUACUACCAUGCCAAAUUAGCUGUUAAGAUGAACGGGACGGCUUCUGCGUUAACAGCCGUUUUGAACGCGGUGGUUUCUUCGUUAAUCGUGUAUACACAAGGACGUUAACUUUACGCGCAGCUUCUCUCCGAUCGACAAUAGUUCGCAAGAGGUUCACCUCACACACGUCGAAUGUCGGAAGCUCAUAAAAGUACUUCGUUCCAGUAGUUUUGAAAAAAAAAAGAUUACACAUCAGAAGAAAUAAGAGAGAAAAGAAAGGAAGAAACUAGAAGAGACAAAAGGUUGCUCAAUAGCAUAUACUGAGGCGUUCGCGCGAUUUAAACGUGCUCGUUAUUUACGUACACGUAUAAUUGAAGGACCGACUAAGCAUGUAAAUAUAAAACAACGAAAACAAUACACAUAGAAUAACAUCCUUUCUUCGCUCUGUGAACCUUUCAGUUUCAAUUCGAGAGCGUCGUUAUUUGUGCGACAUCCGCGUGUGAAUUCUUCCAUGGAAACUGAAGUUUCGAUUAUGAGCUUCUAUACGAUAGUUUGUCCCUUUCCUCCUGUUCUCCUGUCCCCAAUUUAAAACCUGACAAUACUAAAUGCGUUACGUACGAACGGCUUCAAUGUUUCUCAAUCGAUUAAUUGCAGAAGUAUUUGUAUAGUCGCAACGUUAAACAUACACACUCGGACGUGCCAAAUAAAACAAGUUAGUUCGCAGUAUUGAUGUUUUUUCGCCAAAUUUUACACCCACGCUCGACCGUCGCGAAAGUUCGUUGCGAACGAUCGAGUGUCUCACGAUUCGUUUGAGAAUUGAUUUACGGUGUUUAUCACGGGGCUAGAUUAACGAUAAGAAGUAUCUGAUUGAUUAUCCAAACGUACGACUUCAAUGUGGUGCCGAGAAGUAAUAAUAUUUGUACAAGAUUUUCAGAUGAAGGUACGACGAAAGAUAAAUAUAAAUAAAUUAUUUACAAAUAUA
rnacentral:misc_RNA from 1 species